CCCCUAGAUGUUCUGGGCCGCACGCGCGCUACACUGAACAGUUCAACAAGUCUUAACCUUGGCCGAUAGGUCUGGGUAAUCUUUGAACGCUGUUCGUGAUUGGGAUAGACCUUUGCAAUUAUGGGUCUUCAACGAGGAAUUCCUAGUAAACGCAAGUCAUCAGCUUGCAUUGAUUACGUCCCUGCCCUUUGUACACACCGCCCGUCGCACCUACCGAUUGAAUGGUCCGGUGAAUGGUUCGGACUCUGGCUAUGCUAGCUACUAGCUACGUCAGGGAAAGUUCUGUGAACCUUAUCACUUGGAGGAAGGAGAAGUCGUAACA
rnacentral:rRNA from 1 species